rnacentral:rRNA from 1 species
UACGAAGGGGGCGAGCGUUGUUCGGAUUUACUGGGCGUAAAGGGCGCGCAGGCGGCUAUCCAAGUCAGGCGUGAAAGCCCCGGGCUUAACCUGGGAGGUGCGUCUGGGACUGGGUGGCUAGAGAUCGGGAGAGGAGAGUGGAAUUCCCAGUGUAGAGGUGAAAUUCGUAGAUAUUAGGAAGAACACCAGUGGCGAAGGCGGCUCACUGGCCCGGUACUGACGCUGAGGCGCGAAAGCGUGGGGAGCAAACAGG